rnacentral:rRNA from 1 species
AUUGAACGCUGGCGGCAGGCUUAACACAUGCAAGUCGAGCGGUAACAUUUCCAGCUUGCUAGAGAUGACGAGCGGCGGACGGGUGAGUAAUACUUAGGAAUCUACUUAGUAGUGGGGGAUAGCUCGGGGAAACUUGAAUUAAUACCGCAUACGACCUACGGGAGAAAGGGGGCAACUUGUUGCUCUCGCUAUUAGAUGAGCCUAAGUCGGAUUAGCUAGAUGGUGGGGUAAAGGCCUACCAUGGCGACGAUCUGUAGCUGGUCUGAGAGGAUGAUCAGCCACACCGGGACUGAGACACGGCCCGGACUCCUACGGGAGGCAGCAGUGGGGAAUAUUGGACAAUGGGGAAACCCUGAUCCAGCCAUGCCGCGUGUGUGAAGAAGGCCUUUUGGUUGUAAAGCACUUUAAGCAGUGAAGAAGACUCUUCGGUUAAUACCCGGAGACGAUGACAUUAGCUGCAGAAUAAGCACCGGCUAACUCUGUGCC